rnacentral:rRNA from 1 species
CGGACGGGUGAGUAAUGUCUGGGAAACUGCCCGAUGGAGGGGGGUAACUACUGGAAACGGUAGCUAAUACCGCAUAACGUCGCAAGACCAAAGAGGGGGACCUUCGGGCCUCUUGCCAUCGGAUGUGCCCAGAUGGGAUUAGCUAGUAGGUGGGGUAGCGGCUCACCUAGGCGACGAUCCCUAGCUGGUCUGAGAGGAUGACCAGCCACACUGGAACUGAGACACGGUCCAG